rnacentral:rRNA from 1 species
UACGUAGGGGGCUAGCGUUGUCCGGAAUCAUUGGGCGUAAAGAGCGUGUAGGCGGUCCGGUAAGUCCGCUGUGAAAGUCGGGGGCUCAACCCUCGAAUGCCGGUGGAUACUGUCGGGCUAGAGUGCGGAAGAGGCGAGUGGAAUUCCUGGUGUAGCGGUGAAAUGCGCAGAUAUCAGGAAGAACACCCGUGGCGAAGGCGGCUCUCUGGGACGGUACUGACGCUGAGACGCGAAAGCGUGGGGAGCGAACAGGG